rnacentral:lncRNA from 1 species
CUAAAAUCAAAUUCACGGCAUUACAUGACACAAAGCUUGUGUGAACAGCUCUAAGAUAGAUGACAUCCUAGGAUAAGAAGCUACAAUGCAGAAGAAGAAAAAAGUGCAAUACAAGAAAGCUGCGCUCAAGCUUCCUUGCCGGGGUCUUAGAUAAAGUUGGGAGGGUUCACGAUACAACCUCCUCACAAGUAUUCUUCUAGCAUCGUUACCUCCUGACUCGAUCGCAGAGACUGCGGAGGAAAGGAGCACCUGGGUAUCCUUCAUGAGAAUUCUUCUGGCAUCAGAAACAUUGCUGGAGGCUACUCCUAUCAAGCACUACAAGCUUCAAGCCAACAAGCACUAUAAC